AGGGCUUGACAUACUACAAAUCUUUUCGAAACGAAAGAGUGCCUUCGGGAAUGUAGAUACAGGUGGUGCAUGGCUGUCGUCAGCUCGUGUCGUGAGAUGUUGGGUUAAGUCCCGCAACGAGCGCAACCCUCAUUUUUAGUUGCCAAUUUAUUGGGAUUUCUAGAGAGACUGCCGGUGACAAACCGGAGGAAGGUGAGGAUGACGUCAAGUCAGCAUGCCCCUUAUGCCCUGGGCCACACACGUGCUACAAUGGCGAAGACAAAGAGUCGCAAACCUGCGAAGGCUAGCUAAUCUCGUAAACUUCGUCUAAGUUCGGAUUGUAGGCUGCAACUCGCCUGCAUGAAGUUGGAAUCGCUAGUAAUCGCUGGUCAGCUAUACAG
rnacentral:rRNA from 1 species